UCACCUGAUGCCACAUGGUCUUGGGUUG
rnacentral:piRNA from 1 species